GUGAGGAAUAUUGGUCAAUGGACGAGAGUCUGAACCAGCCAAGUCGCGUGAAGGAAGACGGUUCUAUGAAUUGUAAACUUCUUUUGUGCAGGAAUAAAGUGGGUUACGUGUAACCUUUUGUAUGUACUGUACGAAUAAGGAUCGGCUAACUCCGUGCCAGCAGCCGCGGUAAUACGGAGGAUCCGAGCGUUAUCCGGAUUUAUUGGGUUUAAAGGGUGCGUAGGUGGAUUGAUAAGUCAGCGGUGAAAGUUUGCAGCUUAACUGUAAAAUUGCCGUUGAAACUGUCGAUGUUGAGUGCAAAUGAGGUAAGCGGAAUGUGUUGUGUAGCGGUGAAAUGCUUAGAUAUAACACAGAACACCGAUUGCGAAGGCAGCUUACUGGGAUGCAACUGACGCUCAUGCACGAAAGCGUGGGGAUCAAACAGGAUUAGAAACCCGUGUAGUCC
rnacentral:rRNA from 1 species